rnacentral:rRNA from 2 species
GAGGGAAACCGAGUCUUAAUUGGGCGUUAAGUUGCAGGGUAUAGACCCGAAACCCGGUGAUCUAGCCAUGGGCAGGUUGAAGGUUGGGUAACACUAACUGGAGGACCGAACCGACUAAUGUUGAAAAAUUAGCGGAUGACCUGUGGCUGGGGGUGAAAGGCCAAUCAAACCGGGAGAUAGCUGGUUCUCCCCGAAAGCUAUUUAGGUAGCGCCUCGUGAAUUCAUCUCCGGGGGUAGAGCACUGUUUCGGCUAGGGGGCCAUCCCGGCUUACCAACCCGAUGCAAACUGCGAAUACCGGAGAAUGUUAUCACGGGAGACACACGGCGGGUGCUAACGUCCGUCGUGAAGAGGGAAACAACCCAGACCGCCAGCUAAGGUCCCAAAGUCAUGGUUAAGUGGGAAACGAUGUGGGAAGGCCCAGACAGCCAGGAUGUUGGCUUAGAAGCAGCCAUCAUUUAAAGAAAGCGUAAUAGCUCACUGGUCGAGUCGGCCUGCGCGGAAGAUGUAACGGGGCUAAACCAUGCACCGAAGCUGCGGCAGCGAACGUAUCACC